rnacentral:lncRNA from 1 species
AUGAUGAGGAAAAAUGAGCUUGGUGUGGUCAGAGCCUGCUCCAGCAGCUGGGGUGUGAGUGGGCAUGGGAGUGUCCAGGUGAGAGUUCGGGGUGUCCAGGUGAGUGGCAGUGCCCAGGUGUGUGCCAUGUCUGGGUGUCUGACAUGUCUAGGUGCAUGGCAGUGUUCAGAUGUGCAUGUGUGGUGUUCAGGUGUGUGGCAGUGCCCAGGUGUGUUUGUGCAGUGCCCAGGUGUGUGCAGUGUCCAGGUGUGUGCCCAGGUGAGUGUGCCAUGUCCCUUUGUGCAUACAGAGUGUCCAGGUGUGUGUGUGCCGUGUCCAGGUGAAUGUGCCAUGCCCAGGUGUGUGUUUGUGCAAUGCCCAGGUGUGUGGCAGUGCCCAGGUGUGUGUGCCGUGUCCCUCUGUGUGUCAGUGGCAGUGCCCAGGUGUGUGGCAGUGCCCAGGUGUGUGUUCAGUGCCCAUGUGUGUGCCAUGCCCAGGUGUGUGUGCCGUGUCCCCCUGUGCUCAGCCGCUCUCUCCCCGGCCGUGUCCCCGCUGUCGCUCUGUGCGCGGGGCUCCGGCACCUCCGUGUGGCAGAGCCGGGAACAGCCCCGGGGACAGCGACAGCGCUGGGAACGCUGUGGGGACUGUCACUGUGCUGGGAACACCGCGGGAACAGGGACAGCGCUGGACAGUGACAGUGCUGGGGACACUGUAGGGACUGUCACUGUGCUGGGGACACCGCGGGGACAGGGACACCGUGGGGACACCGCCGGGAUUGUUGCUGUGCUGGGGACACUGCGGGGACAGGGACACCAUGGGGACACUGUGGGGAUUGUCACUGUGCUGGGGACACUGCGGGAACAGGGACAGCGCUGGGACAGUGACAGUGCUGGGGACACUGUGGCCACCCAGGCUCGAGGCUGCACAAAGUGGGCACCAGCCUCUGUCCCCUUGUGCCUCUGUCCCCUUGUCCCCAAGCCAGGCUGGGGAUCCGAAUCUCAGCAGCACCAGCACCCCAGUGCUGAGGACACUCCUGUGGUGACACUGCCAUGGUGA